UUUUGUUUAUUUGUCUUUCACUUAAGCCAUUUUCUAGGCAAGUUUGAUGAAAUAUUCAUAGCAGGAGUCAAUUACUUCAUUAUCUAUAGAAGACUGUAAACAGAUAAGUAAAACUACUAAUGCUUUAAUUCAUUAUAUGCAAUUUAUUUUUUUGCUUAUGAAUUUUAUCAUUUAUGUAUCAGGAAUCAUUCAAGAUACUCGUACAAACCAACGAAUUCACGGGUAAGUUUAAAAUUAAUUUGCAAAUCGUAAUUAAUGCAAGCAUGAUAAUCAGAAAAUAUAGAAUCAUAUGAAACUAUUUAUGCAUGUUCAUAUCUAUCACAUUCUCCAAGGAUUUGAUAGACAUUCAUAUAUUGUAUCGAAGAACAUGAUAUUCACAUACAUCAUCAUAAAUAAAAUAUAAAUUUACAAAUGGAACAUGUUUACUUACCAAUUGUUUGCUUGCUUUUGGUGGAAUCGCGAAGAUGGAG
rnacentral:lncRNA from 1 species